rnacentral:misc_RNA from 1 species
AACGUUAUCAGCCCGCGCCACCCCCACCCGCCCCUCUGCGCCUUCGCAGCGCCGUGCCCCGCUCGCUUUCAGUCUUCCUCCUCCUCUAGGCAAGAACGAUCGAGGGGGGGGGCUGAGGAGAGAACAGCACAAGACGCGCAUCCGACCUCAGCCUUUGCAUGCGCCGGGGAGUGAGGCGUCGACACAUCCGGCAGCCGCACCCGCCCCAAUCGCUAGCGCGGCCAUGAAGCUCUUCGGCAGCUCCCUCUUCGACUCGGACAAGACGUACCGGCCGAAGAAGAAGCACAAGGAGGGAACGGAGCGGUACCGCCUGCACAACUUUGCACGCUCGCUCGUCAAGUCUGGCGACCUGCGGCAGGCGGUGCAGCUGCCCCCCGGCGUCGACAUCAACAACUGGCUUUCGGUGCACACCGUUGAUUUUUACAACAUCACCAACGUCAUAUACGGCUCGCUGACGGACUACUGCAGCGACAUGAGCUGCCCCGUGAUGUCCUCCGGGCCGCGGUACGAGUACCUGUGGCGCAACCCACCCGAGUACCCCAAGGCGACGCGGGUGUCGGCGCCACAGUACCUCGACCUACUCAUGAAGUGGAUCGAGCGGCAGAUUAACGACGAGCGCAUUUUCCCGUCGGAGGACUACAACCCGUACCCAGCCGACUUCAAGAGCUACGUAAAGAACAUAUUCCGCCGCAUGUUCCGCGUCUACGCACACAUAUACUACUCGCACUUCACGAAGAUCGCGGAGCUUCAGGAGGAGGCGCACAUGAACACCGCUUUCAAGCAUUUUAUGUACUUCGCGUGGGAGUUCGACCUCAUCCCACGUGAGGAGCUGACGCCGCUGCAGGAGUUGCUGAAGAACCUCAUGGGCGACUACGCGAAGGAGCGGCUAGAGUGAGCAUCGAACUUCGAACGCAUAUUGGGGACAAUUAGAACCUUCCUGGCCUCCACCCUUCCCCUCUCGCUCGCUCACGGUAGGGGGGGGGCUGACCUCUUAUCGAGUGCACGACGUGCAGAGAGGUGGCGGUGGCCGUCUCCGGUUUCGGUGUUGGCAUGUCAUGCCGUACCCGUAUUCUCUCGCCUCCUCUGCACUCGUUCGGCUCUGUCUCUCUGGCAGCCGCGGCGAGCGGGGAGAGAGCGAGGAUGGUGGUGGUGGGCGGCGAGCGCAGCAAGACUUCGUGGCGCGUGCGUCUGCGCCUGUCGUUGAAAACCGUGCCGGCAGACUGGCAUGCACGUUUUCUCUCACGUCUUCCUACCCAAGUCGUCUUUGUUCCGCUUCGCCAACGCCUCCGCUUAUGCAGACACCGGACCUGUGGCCGACGCUUGCCACUCACCCUCUCUGAUUCUCCCGUCGUAUGUAGGCCUGCUGAUAAAGCGUGCGCCGCCACGUUUUCGUGCCUUUGCCUGCAUCCGCAGCACACGCACACACACGGCCGCGCUGCCCGGCCACCGUCCAUCGUCAUCAGUGGCAAUUUUAAAAGGUGUGAGUCGGCAGAUAGGGAAUCGAAAAAAAAAAAGGACGGCACGUGGGUGGUGAUGGUGGUGUUGGGGAGAGGCGAGCACCCGGCACACAAGCACACGCGUAUGGUGCCACUCUUUCACGUGGGCAGCAUUUUCGUGUCUGUUGGCGCCGACGCGGCCAUCGAUGCUUUCUCUUCCUGCGCGUGUGCGGCUCUUUGAUGCUUGCUUCAUAUCCUCGCUAGCGUGCGUUGUCGAGGACGAAGAGAGGGAUGGAGGGGGGAGAGUGGGGGGGGGGCGGACGUCGAGGACGUGCGCGUCGCAGUGUAGCACGACAUGUGCUUGCGCACCGGCGUUACGGCCAGCCUAUGGCGACACUUGCACGCGCGGCCCCGCUUCACUGCCGCGGUAAUGCAGACGCGAUUCGCCUUGUUGUGUGUUUCUCGUAGACAUCCGAAAACUUUGAUGGCCCCCAUUCGCAUCCCCACCUCUUCUUGCACAGACCUCACUCGGUGCGCAGCCGCCGGUAAACGUCCGCUCCUGUCUCCCCCCCCCCCCCACCCAACCCCAACCCCAACCCCGACCCCAUUCUUUCUCAUGCCCGCCACUCAGCCCUCCACCUCCUCCUCGCCUUUUUUACCGACAUCACCGCAUCACCUUCGCACACGCCUUCAUCACUGCAG